UUUAACACCUUAAGCUUACGUUAUACUUUAUCUGCUCUGCGGCCUCAUCUCAUCUCAACGCAAUCCCUUCCUCUUUCUUCUUAUCUUUCAUAUCUUAUAGAUUUCAAUACCUUAAAUAGUUUGCAAAUGGUAAAGUGAUGUGCAGAUCGGCUCCAUAUCAGAGUCAACAGCAGGUGCCAGUCUAUGGCCGAUCUGACUGCCGCUUGGAGCCAAUAUUUAGUUAAAGGGGUGAAGACCCAUGAAACUCACAGUUAUUUCAUGACACAAUAACCCCUUUACAAUUGUUUAUUGUCUUUUAAAUUCAUGGUCUAGCAUUUGAUGGUGUUGUUGAAGGGGGGCAUAGAGUCAGACACGGGUGUUUGUUUGUUUACAAUAGCAAUCCACCUUUUGCAUUGUGCCUAAACCAAAGCUACUUACACGAUUGGAGGGAGCCUUUGCCUUCUCCAUGCUUUCCUUCAAAUUUAAAGCAGCUAAAUUUUUAUUUUAGAUUUUAAUGAUUUUAACCAUGUAUUACUUCUGUUGUGAAAAAUAAUUUGAACCUAAUGCUGUCAUGCAUGGUGGAUUGGUUGAUGGGCUUUGCAAGGAAGUAUUUGAAAUAUCAUCGUUUACAAUAUUGUUAUCUACAGCUUUAGAAAUCGUUCCUUCCUUGUUUAAUGUACAGAUGCACACAUAUAACAAGGAAUGGAUGAUUUCUAAAGCUUUGGAUAGCUUUAUCAUGAUGAGGAAGCAAUGCACCGAGUUCAAUAUUGUCAUGUAUGGUGGAAAUAUUGCAAUUUAUAGUACUGUUAUCUACAGCUUUAGAAAUCAUCCCUUUUUUAGAUGUGUAAAUAUAUAAAUAAAUUGAAGCACAUUGCUAGAAAGGGAUGAUUUCUAAAGCUCUAGAUAACGUUAUUACAACGAGAAGCAAGGUCACCUAUAGUGGAUUGGUUAAUCCAUAUUGCAAGGAUGUUAUUGGCAAUAUUGUUAUCUACGGCUUCAGAAACCAUCCCUUCCUUGCUUAAUUUAUGGAAUCUGUAAUAUACAGAUUGACGCCCCUUGCAAGGAAGGAAUGGUUUCUGAAGCUUUAGGUAACUUUAUCACGACUUGAUGCACGUUGCAAGGCAGGUAUGGUCGUGGAUGAGAAAUCAUCGUCCCCUUUUGAUUUGGUUUAGCAACUUUUGUGUUCGUUGAUUGAAGAUUGCAGACUCAUUGUCUCCUUAGCAUAUUCAUGAAAUUUUGGCUUACAUUAUUUUGAUUUGUUUUUACCAAUUGUGUACAUUUAAUGUUGGAUUCUGUAAGUUUCAAUGUUGAAUUUCGUUAAAAACUUAAGUUUAUUUUCAA